ACAUUAUGUUACUAUAAUGUGAGCAGGAUCAUGUUGAGGGCUACCUUGAACUGUCUGCGAAGACAAAGUCAUAUUUUGCUGCUGCUGUUGCUUCAUGGGAUGCAGAUUUUUAUGUGAAAGUUGAUGAUGAUGUUCAUGUAAAUAUAGCAACACUAGGAGAAACUUUGGCAAGAUACAGGAAAAAGCCACAGGUGUAUAUCGGAUGUAUGAAAUCUAGUCCUGUCCUUGCUCAGAAGGGAGUGAGGUACCAUGAACCUGAAUAUUGGAAAUUCGGGGAGGCAGGAAACAGGUAUUUUAGACAUGCUACAAGACAACUAUAUGCCAUUUCAAAAGAUUUGGCUACUUACAUCUCGAUAAACCAGUUAAAUUACACUCUCACAUGGUGUAAAAAAUGAGAGAUCAAAAAAAGAAAUAUGUGUGUGUAUCACUGAAG